CCUACGGGUGGCAGCAGUGGGGAAUAUUGGGCAAUGGGCGCAAGCCUGACGCAGCAACGCCGCGUGAAGGAUGAAGGCUUUCGGGUUGUAAACUUCUUUUAAGGGGGAAGAGCAGAAGACGGUACCCCUUGAAUAAGCCACGACUAACUACGUGACAGCAGCCGCGGUAAUACGUAGGGGGCAAGCGUUGUCCGGAAUUACUGGGUGUAAAGGGCGUGCAGCCGGGAAGACAAGUCAGAUGUGAAAUCCCGCGGCCCAACCGCGGAACUGCAUUUGAAACUGUUUAUCUGGAGUAUCGGAGAGGAAAUCGGAAUUCCUAGUGUAGCGGUGAAAUGCGUAGAUAUUAGGAAGAACACCAGUGGCGAAGGCGAAUUACUGGACGACAACUGACGGUGAGGCGCGAAAGCGUGGGGAGCAAACAGGAUUAGAUACCCCGGUAGUC
rnacentral:rRNA from 1 species